rnacentral:tRNA from 1 species
UCCCUGGUCGUCCAGUGACUCAAACACUGUGCUCCCAAUGCAGGAGACCUGGGUUCGAUCCCUAGUCAGGGAA